rnacentral:tRNA from 1 species
UGCGGGAUAGAGCAGGCUGGUUAGCUCGUCGGGCUCAUAACCCGGAGGUCACAGGUUCGAAUCCUGUUCCCGCUA